UACAGAGGGGGCAAGCGUUGUUCGGAAUUACUGGGCGUAAAGGGCGCGUAGGCGGCCCGCUAAGUCGAACGUGAAAUCCCCGAGCUCAACUCGGGAACUGCGUCUGAUACUGGAUGGCUUGAGUUCGGGAGAGGGAUGCGGAAUUCCAGGUGUAGCGGUGAAAUGCGUAGAUAUCUGGAGGAACACCGGUGGCGAAGGCGGCAUCCUGGACCGACACUGACGCUGAGGAGCGAAAGCCAGGGGAGCAAACGGG
rnacentral:rRNA from 1 species